GAUGAACGCUAGCUACAGGCUUAACACAUGCAAGUCGCAGGGUAACAUGAGGCAAGCUUGCUUUCCUUGAUGACGACUGGCGCACGGGUGAGUAACGCGUAUCCAACCUUCCCAUAACUACGGGAUAACCCGUUGAAAGACGGCCUAAUAACGUAUGAUAUCGUUUGCUGACAUCAAAUAACGAUUAAAGGUUUAGCGGUUAUGGAUGGGGAUGCGUCUGAUUAGCUUGUUGGCGGGGUAACGGCCCACCAAGGCGACGAUCAGUAGGGGUUCUGAGAGGAGGGUGCCCCACAUUGGAACUGGGACACGGUCCAAACUCCUACGGGAGGCAGCAGUGAGGAAUAUUGGUCAAUGGGCGAGAGCUUGAACCAGCCAAGUAGCGUGCAGGACGACGGCCCGAUGGGUUGUAAACUGCUUUUAUGUGGGGAUAAAGUGCGUGGCGUGUCAUGCAGUGCAGGUACCACAUGAAUAAGGACCGGCUAAUUCCGUG
rnacentral:rRNA from 1 species